GCUUCAAGCAGUUCUCCUGCCUCAGCCUCCGCAGUAGCUGGGACUACAGGUGCGUGCCACCACGCCUGGCUAAUUUUUUUGUAUAUUUUGGUAGAGACGGGGAUUCACCAUGUUGGCCAGGCUGGUCUUGAACUACUGACCUCAGGUGAUCUGGUCACGUUGGCCUCCCAAAGUGCUGGGAUUACAGGCGUGAGCCAACACGCCUGGCCCUCUGCGCCUUGUUGCUUUUA
rnacentral:lncRNA from 10 species